rnacentral:rRNA from 1 species
AUUGAACGCUGGCGGCAUGCCUAACACAUGCAAGUCGAACGAGUGGCGGACGGGUGAGUAAUGUCUGGGAAACUGCCUGAUGGAGGGGGAUAACUACUGGAAACGGUAGCUAAUACCGCAUACCAUCAGAGGUGCCCAGAUGGGAUUAGCUAGUUGGUGGGGUAACGGCUCACCAAGGCGACGAUCCCUAGCUGGUUUGAGAGGAUGACCAGCCACACUGGAACUGGGACACCGUCCCGACUCCUACGGGAGGCAGCAGUGGGGAAUAUUGGACAAUGGGGGCAAGCCUGGUGCAGCCAUUCCGCGGGUAUGAAGAAGGCCUUCGGGUUGUAAAGUACUUUCAGCGGGGAGGCGUUACCCGCAGAAGAAGCACCGGCUAACUCCGUGCCAGCAGCCGCGGUAAUAC